CUUUUUUGCUGCAAUACCACAGUCUCAAAAUAUGGUGCAGUGAGUGGUUUCAUCAAACUCUACUCUACUCUUCUGGAAGCUACAGAAAAAGGAAGCCCAGAAACUUGGCAAUCUGGCAAAAGGGUAAAAAGGAAAAACGAAUGGAGAGGAAAAGGACAGUCAGUUGGUCUCAUGCGUUGGAUCUUGUUUGAAAAGCUGAGUCCCAUCUAUAUCAGAGAAACAAUUGGAGACGCUGAUUAUUUUACCAAGGCUUUGACGGGUAUGACAUGUUUUCAGACUGCUUUGAAGAAUUGUUGAACGACAGAGCCAACAAAAGUUCCUUGGGAAAAUUGGUCUCAUACCUUGUCCUUUACAAGUUUCCUAACCUGUAGUAAGUAAAGAAUGUCAGUUUCCGACAGGCCCAGGAACCCCAAGUUAUUUUGGAAACAUCGAGCUGGAAGGAAUUCACUCAAUUCAUACAAGCAUCUGCAGGCACAAAUAAAUCCUGGGCUGGGCUCAAGAGGCUUUUAAAAGGUCUAAUCUGAGAUUCCUUAUUAAAAAGUCCCAGAAAAGCCAAUUUAAAAAAAAAGGAUAUAUGGUAAUUAAUUAUUCUCACCUCAUUUUGUGUGUGUAAUUAGGCCAAGUAUAAUAAGACUAAAACUUAUUUUGCAAAUAAAUUAGUCUUACUAUGAUGUGUCUUUGAUAGAAAUAAAAAAGUGAAGAGAUAAACAUUAUUUCAGAAAAAUUAUAGUAUACCUGUUAUUAGAUUCCAUUCUUGUCCAUUAUUUUUGAGUCUCCGCUAACAACCCAAUAUCUGACUGGUUUUCACGGUCAUUCACCUGGAUCCC
rnacentral:lncRNA from 1 species